GCAGGCGGGCUUUUAAGUCAGCGGUGAAAUCUGGACGCUUAACGUCCAAACUGCCGUUGAAACUGGGAGUCUUGAGUAUGGAUGAAGUAGGCGGAAUUCGUUGUGUAGCGGUGACAUGCAUAGAUAUAACGAGGAACUCCGAUUGCGUAGGCAGCUUACUAAGCCAUAACUGACGCUCAUGCACGAAAGCGUGGGGAUCAAACAGGAUUAGAUACCCUGGUAGUCCACGCCGUAAACGAUGAUUACUAGUUGUAUGCGAUAUGAUAGUAUGUGACUAAGCGAAAGCGAUAAGUAAUCCACCUGGGGAGUACGCCGGCAACGGUGAAACUCAAAGGAAUUGACGGGGGCCCGCACAAGCGGAGGAACAUGUGGUUUAAUUCGAUGAUACGCGAGGAACCUUACCCGGGCUUGAAAUGUACAUGAAUAACGUUGAAAGAUGUUAGCCAGCAAUGGCAUGUAUGUAGGUGCUGCAUGGUUGUCGUCAGCCCGUGCCGUGAGGUGUCGGCUUAAGUGCCAUAACGAGCGCAACCCACAUUAUUAGUUACUAACAGGUUAAGCUGAGGACUCUAAUAAGACUGCCGGCGUAAGCUGCGAGGAAGGUGUGGAUGACGUCAAAUCAGCACGGCCCUUACGUCCGGGGCGACACACGUGUUACAAUGGGUGGUACAAAGGGCAGCUACUUGGUGACAAGAUGCUAAUCUCCAAAGCCACUCCCAGUUCGGAUCGGAGUCUGCAACUCGACUCCGUGAAGCUGGAUUCGCUAGUAAUCGCGCAUCAGCCAUGGCGCGGUGAAUACGUUCCCGGGCCUUGUACACACCGCCCGUCAAGCCAUGGGAGCUGGGGGUAUCUGAAGUACGUAACCGCAAGGAGCGUCCUAGGGUAAAACUGGUGACUGGAGCU
rnacentral:rRNA from 1 species